rnacentral:rRNA from 1 species
UACGAAGGGAGCUAGCGUUGUUCGGAAUCACUGGGCGUAAAGCGCACGUAGGCGGAUGUGUCAGUCAGGGGUGAAAUCCCGGAGCUCAACUUCGGAACUGCCUUUGAUACAGCACGUCUUGAGUCCGAUAGAGGUGGGUGGAAUUCCUAGUGUAGAGGUGAAAUUCGUAGAUAUUAGGAAGAACACCGAUGGCGAAGGCGGCAUCCUGGACCGGUAUUGACGCUGAGGAGCGAAAGCCAGGGGAGCAAACGGG